rnacentral:rRNA from 1 species
GACAGAGGGUGCAAACGUUUGUUCGGAAUUACUGGGCGUAAAGCGCGUGUAGGCUGCUUCGCAAGUCGGAUGUGAAAGCCCUGGGCUCAACCUAGGAAGUGCAUUCGAAACUGCGAAGCUUGAGUCCUGGAGAGGAAGGCGGAAUUCUCGGUGUAGAGGUGAAAUUCGUAGAUAUGGGGAGGAACACCGGUGGCGAAGGCGGCCAUCUGGACGGAUACUGACGCUGAGACGCGAAAGCGUGGGGAGCAAACAGG